rnacentral:rRNA from 1 species
GAUGAACGCUGGCGGCAUGCCUAACACAUGCAAGUCGGACGGGCAGUGGUGUUUCCUGUGGCGGACGGGUGAGCAACGCGUAAGAACCUGCCCUUGGGAGGGGAACAAUAGCUGGAAACGGCUGCUAAUACACCGUAGGCCGAGGAGCAAAAGGAGGAAUCCGCCAGAGGGGGGGCUCGCGUCUGAUUAGCUAGUUGGUGAGUCAAUAGCUUACCACGGCGCUGAUCAGUAGCUGGUCCGAGAGGAAGAUCAGCCACACUGGGACUGAGACACGGCCCAGGCUCCUUCGGGAGGCAGCAGUGGGGAAGACGCCGCAAUGCGCGAAGGGCUGACGAGGCAAUGCCGCGGGGAAGUAGAAGUCUUACGGAACGUGAACUUCGUUUCCCGGAGAAGAAGCAAUGACGGUAUCUGGGGAAAAAGCAACGGCUAACUCUGUG